CUAUUAUACGUCUAUGGAUACAAGUAUGAUCCUGUAUCGAUAUUAUUGUACGGUUUACGUAGUUUUAAAAGUUUUCUAUCUGUUUCACAAUGGUGCGAUGUUGUUUUUGUAAUAGUAUUUUAACAAAAGGAUGUGGACGGACAUUUCACAGAUAAGUAUAGUAAAAUUACAUAUAAAAGGAAAUAAAAAGUAAGAAGUGCAGGUUAUGUUUACAGAAUAAAUAAUUAUGAUUAACUAUAUUGUUUCGUUCAGUGUAUUUAAUAAAUAAAUAAAAUUAAGUAUUUUUUAUUUUCUUUUUGUGAAGGUUUCCUUUAUCAGAUAAAUUUAUGUUGGAGCAGUGGCUCAAGCAAAUACCAAUGAAGCAUUGGACACCAAAUAAGGAUAGCCUCCUGUGUUCAGAUCAUUUUACAGAAAAUUGUUUUGACAAAUCUACAUUUCAAGUACGCUUAAAAUCUGAUAGUGUCCCAACAUGUUUUGGAGAUCCACAAACAGCUUGUAUAAUCUGCAAGCGGAAACGUUCACAUGAAUCGAUGCACUCAUUUUUCAAGUUUCCUUUAGAUAAACCUGUACUUCUCAAUAGAUGGCUGGAAAAUAUGAAUUUGUUAAAUUGGACACCUACUCAGUUAAGCUGCUUGUGUUCAAGCCAUUUUGAAGUAUCCUGUCUAAGGAAAGUAAAAAAUAAAUACUGGUCUUUAAAGGAAAAUAGUAUCCCAACGAUAUUAAAUCCCAGUGAUUGUGAUCCACUGUAUCAAAAUAUUGAAUUCGAAAAAUCUACGGAAAAUACUCUGCAUUUAAAUGAAAACAAGUCCACAUCAAAUUCUGUAACAAAUAAUGUUUCGCAUAAUGUACCGUUAAUAAAUGUAGUUAUUACUGAAGAUGCGAAGAAGAAAAAUCUUCAGAGUUACGAAGCGAGAACGUCACGUCUGGCCAUCUAUCGGUCGCUUGGUGAAUCAGAGGUGGGAAUCACACACACUUGUGUUGAUUUUUAUCUCUUGUUCCAUAAUCGAGUACAUUGAAACGUAUGAUGUAAAAAUAAUUAAUACUCGCAAAACAUUAGAUACGUCUAAGAAACAUAUAUUAGGCUAACAUGUGCUGCCUGGGUCAUCUAUCAUACGCACGACUGUAGAAGUUUUAUUUAUUACUUCCUCUGGUUGUAAUCUAGUGUGACACUACUAGUAGCCCGUAAAGACAUGGCCGACGAUCAAAUCCCCCUCCCCGCCAUUGCUUCACCCCCUCAGACCUAUGCUCUCUCCUUUAACUCCGUGAUUGGAGACGUCGCUAUUUAGCCUGCUGCAACCAUUUAUAUAGAUCGGUGGUACACACGCACACACACGUACGGGGAAGAGGAAUGUACACAAUAUCAAUUUCUCCGCCUCUUUGCACAUUAUCAAAAAAA